UCCUGAGACCCAUCAUUUCUCAGUCUCUUAAGAGAGGACCUCCUGUUCACUGUGACACAGUGAUAUUGAAAUCAGGCCAGUUAAUAAUCCUACAGUGGUCUCUAAAUGUUCAAGUGAAAGGAAGUGCCACACAUCUCUCAAAUUUAAAUCAAAAGCUAGAAAUGAUUAAGCUUACUUAGAGAGGAAGGUAUGUCAAAAGUCAAGAUAGGCCAAGAGUUAGGCUU
rnacentral:lncRNA from 10 species